rnacentral:lncRNA from 1 species
CAGAAGUUUCUGGAAGCCAAGCACAAGCAGCUUCCAACUGUGUUCAGGAAAAUGCUUUCGUAUAAUUUGAAGAAGCUUGAGGCCGCUGGAAAGCUUGUUAAGAUCAAGGCUUCGUAUAAGUUGGCUCCUGCGAGAGCUUCUGCUCCUGCCAAGAAGAAGCCUGCUGCUCCGGCUAAGAAGAAGGCCGCUGCCGCGCCUGCUAAGAAGAAGGCUGCCGCCCCUGCCAAGAAGAAGGCAGCUGCCGCGCCGAAGAAGAAGGCGCCGGUUACCAAGGCUAAGGCUGCUGUCAAGCCCAAGGCCAAGCCUGUUGUGAAACCUAAGGCUAAGGCUGCUGUUAAGCCCAAAGCCAAGCCUGCUGCCAAGCCCAAGCCUGCUGCUAAGGCAAAGCCUGCUGCCAAGCCUAAGGCCAAGGCA